UACGGAGGGGGCUAGCGUUGUUCGGAAUUACUGGGCGUAAAGCGCACGUAGGCGGCUUUACAAGUCAGGGGUGAAAGCCCGCGGCUCAACCGCGGAAUUGCCCUUGAGACUGUAUCGCUUGAACACGGGAGAGGUGAGUGGAAUUCCGAGUGUAGAGGUGAAAUUCGUAGAUAUUCGGAAGAACACCAGUGGCGAAGGCGGCUCACUGGACCGUUGUUGACGCUGAGGUGCGAAAGCGUGGGGAGCAAACAGG
rnacentral:rRNA from 4 species